CCAAGGAGUCUAACAUGUGCGCGAGUCACUCAGUCUUGUACAGGCUUGAGAGGCGCAAUGAAAGUAAAGUUGAUUGAUGGUGAUUCUGGGAUGUUUCGCGUAAGCGGCGGCACUUAGACGCAACCAUGGCCGGCUCAUUUCGCUUUUUGACGAUUGGGCUGAGUUUUAGCGUAUACGUUGGUACCCGAAAGAUGGUGAACUAUGCCUGGGCAAGACGAAGCCAGAGGAAACUCUGGUGGAGGUCUGUAGCGGUUCUGACGUGCAAAUCGAUCGUC
rnacentral:rRNA from 1 species